UGUUGGAGCCCUUUAGAAGCUCCCUUAGCCCAAAAAUUGCCGAGGGUCUGAUUUGUGCCCAGAACUGGUUGAAGCCUUCUCUUUACCAAUUCAAAGAUCAAGACCUUGAUGAGGAGUGGGAGCUUAAUGAUGAGAUUGUGGCAGAAUUACAAGCAGCAGCAAGUUCUAUGACCCCAGGUGGAUCAGCUUCAGCAGCUGGAACAUCCUCUCAGCCAAUGAAUAUUGGCUGAAAGCGCAACUUAAAAGUGUACAAUUUCCCUUGAACUUUUUAAUCUUUACUUUAAGUACUCAAGUUAGCCAAUUCUGAUGUGCUUAUUUAUUUUAUGUAUCUGUUACAGGUGCCUGACUUUUUUGGAGUCAUUUGCAGGUCAAAUGACUCACUAUAAUAUUAUAUAAUAUAUGUAGGUUAUUUUGCAAGCAUUGUAGAAGGUUGUAAUGAACCUGUUUUUUGGGAGGUUGAAUCACCUAUGUUGAACAUGAUUUUUUUGGUGGGGCAGCAGCAAGGACUCUUAAGGAUGUGCACUAAAUUAAUCACAACAUGUUGCUUUUUGAAAGACUUGUUGGGACACUUGGAUAGAGGAUGAAUCUGAUUGCUGAUGAGAUGAUAAAGAAGCUUAUGAAGGACAUGGAAAACAUUUCUUCAUUCCUUGUUGGGAUUUGGUUGGGUUCUUGUGUGUGCUGAUCAUAGACAUGCUGAAGAGGGAAUCCUACAUGAUUUUAUUUUCAGUUUUCAUUCUUUAUGGAUAUUUCAAGUCUAAAGUCUUGUAAUAUGAUUUAAAAUCUAAACUUUCGUAGUAGACACAAUGUUGUUAAUGCCUUAAUGCUCUGCUACUUGUGGCUUACUCGAAGACCCUUUUAGUGUGAUUCAAGACUCAAGUUUUAGUUGUAAUUUGGCAGUUAAGAUACAAUCCAGUUUAAGUUUAUGUGAAUGUUAUUAUUGACUAUGGUUAUUGAGCUUUUAAGUUCUAAUAGAACCAAUUUGUGAUGUGUUUUACUUGGCUGGUAAAAUUGAUCAAUAGGUUAUUAUUGAUUUAUUGGCCAUUUGGCGUCUUAAUUAGCUUUGUGAUGUUUUAUUGAUGUUAGGCUUAUUGUUGGUGGGCUUAUUAUUGACCCAUGUUUUAUAAAAAAAAAAUAUCAUUUUUCCUUCAAAAAAAAAAAACUGGCCAAAAAAAGUCCAACCCAGUUAAGGCCCAAACCGUCCAAACCGAACCGACUAAACCGCCUAACCGUUAUAAACCGACCCGACCAAACCGAUUUGGCCCACAGUCGAAAUCGGUCCAAAUUUUAAGCUGUUCGGUUCUUGGCGGUUGGGUUAGAUUGGACCCGAACCCGACCGAACCCGACCGUUGCUCACCCCUAGAUGAGUUA